UUUGGCCGACUCUUCUGAAUAUGUGAAUAUCCUACUCGAAGGCCCCUUGUUUUCUUCGCUUCUUUCUUCUCGUGUCCCAAUAAAACCCACGCUGUCAGGAUACUCUACAACUGCCACCACUCUCUCUCCAUGAAUAAAUCCCCAUCUGCUGUUUUCUCUAACAAUUAACAAUGCUCGCGGGGUCUUCUCUGUUGUAGAAGGGCACAUCAGAGUAGAAGUCCUAUGAGAGAUUUUUUGUUGGACAGAUGAGUUCCAGCCGUACAUGGCAACUCGAACAAUCUUUCCUUCAACCUCUCCCAGUGGAACCAUAGAGGAAGUUGAACUUUUGGGUUCAUCAUAAAGCAUAGCAUUUAUUAAUGAAUGCUUUAUGUCACAUUGUUUCUGCAGAUAAUACUAAUGCAGUCAAUAUCAUGUUGUUUAUUUCCUAUGGGGCUUCACUUGAGUCUUAAUAAUAUUUAAAGGAGGGAUGAGGAAAAACCGAAACACUGGAGAUGUCCCGGUGAGUGAAAAAUAUUUAGGCAAAAGCUUUUAAAGGAAAAGAAUUGAGGACAUUGAAUAGAUUGCACUAAGCAGAUACAUGAACAGAUUACUGGUUUCACAGGUUUCUGUACAUAUUGUCAUCUACAUUUCUUUAAAUCAAAUGCCAAGCCAUGGAUUAUUCUCUUUACUUAGCAAACAAGCAGUUCUCUAUUUACCUUCCAGAGCAAGAUUGAUGAAGUUAGGCCUAGCCUCAUUACUAAAUAUGCUGGUUGGUAUCAUCGUAUGUAACAUAUAUAUCUAUGAUUUGUUGUGGAUUC